AGAUGAGGUCUCACUAUGUUGAGCAGGCUAAACUCAAAUUCCUGGGCUCAAGCAAUCUUCCUGCCUCAGCCUCCCAAGUAGCUGGGAUUACAGGCAUGUGCCAUCACAUCCAGCUAUAGUGCAUGUUGUCACAUCUGGGCAUGAUGACUGGUUCUUGACCUACACUGGUUCUUGAGGAGAGUAAAGAUCACCUGGUGGCCACAAGCAGAUCAUCUGGAGGCAAAACUCCUUAUCUGAGGACAAAAUCAACUCACUUCAAGAAUGACUGAGGGGAACACACCCCAAGGAUGAAGUCACCAAGCCUCUGAAUUAAUGCACCACGGGACCACCCUGCAUCAGGUUUUCUUGUUAUGUGUUAUUUAACCUUUUUGGGUAUAAGUUCAAGUUUUUGGUUACUUGUAGCUGAAAGCAUACACAAGCCAACUACAAAAAUAAUAUUCAAUGCUAAAUACACUAGGAAUAAAAUCUAAAGGAAAGAGCAUUGCCUUUAAGACAGUUCCAAAAAUUGUAGGCGUGAGACUCUUCCCCAGCCAGGCACUGUACUUUAGAGGAUCUUCUCUUGCUCUCUUUCACACACAUCACUUUCACAGAAGGUGAGGAGGGCCCAGGUGUCUGUAUAUGGCAUCCACACCUUUCCUAGACCAUGCACUGAGUACCUGGGAUGCCAGAAUUCUCUGACCUAACUCUGCCCAGAUCAGAUCUCUGGAGGAGGGGACCAGAUUGCAUCAUUGGUGUGUAGGCUCCAAGGCCCGAGGAGUGUUCAAAGGAUUCCUGGGGCUUUGAUGUGUGUAUCAAUGGCCCCAGUGCACGUGCAUGAGGCCCCUUGCAAUGCUGGAGGGACUGUGAUGAAGGCAGAAAGAAAAGGGGACCUACACUUGUUCUCGAUGAGAGCAAAGAUCACCUGGUGGCCAUCAAGCAGGUCAUCUAGAGGCAAAACUCCUUAUCUGAGGAAUUCAGAAGUAAUUAGACUUCUAGAAUUUCUAUACAUUUCUGGAAUGCAAGCAUGUCGAAACCCAUUGUACAACCUUUGCCGACAUAAAGGCACCAAAACAUCCACAAAUGUUAAUCAUUUCUCAUGACCAAUGUGACUAAUAUGGUCCAAAUCACCCUUCAGCUCCUGCGUUAAGUCCACAAAUACCCCUACGGAAGAUCCAACUGGGCACACUCAGUCCUCUCUUACUGAAGCUGCACUCUGCUGCAGCGUUCCUCCUAUCUAAUAAAACAUUCCUCUUCAAACUUA